AGAGUUUGAUCAUGGCUCAGGACGAACGCUGGCGGCGUGCUUAACACAUGCAAGUCGAGGGCACCCAGCAAUGGGUGACCGGCGAACGGGUGCGUAACACGUGAGGAACCUGCCGCGCCCCGGGGGAUAGCCGGCCCAACGGCCGGGUAAUACCGCAUACGCUCGCUCGAGGGCAUCCCCGGGCGAGGAAACUUCCGGGGGGGCGCGAGGGGCUCGCGGCCUAUCAGCUCGUUGGCGGUGUAAAGGACCACCAAGGCGACGACGGGUAGCUGGCCUGAGAGGGUGGCCAGCCACAUUGGGACUGAGAGACGGCCCAGACUCCUACGGGAGGCAGCAGUGGGGAAUCUUGCGCAAUGGCCGCAAGGCUGACGCAGCGACGCCGCGUGCGGGAGGACGCCCCUCGGGGUGUAAACCGCUGUUGCCCGGGACGAACAGUCUCUUUCGAGGGACCUGACGGUACCGGGUGAGGAAGCGCCGGCUAACUCCGUGCCAGCAGCGGCGGUAAUAC
rnacentral:rRNA from 1 species